rnacentral:rRNA from 1 species
AAAACGACUCUCGGCAACGGAUAUCUCGGCUCUCGCAUCGAUGAAGAACGUAGCAAACUGCGAUACUUGGUGUGAAUUGCAGAAUCCCGUGAACCAUCGAGUCUUUGAACGCAAGUUGCGCCCNAAGCCAUUAGGCCGAGGGCACGUCUGCCUGGGCGUCACGC